rnacentral:rRNA from 1 species
GAUGAACGCUGGCGGCGUGCCUAAUACAUGCAAGUCGAGCGAACAGACGAGGAGCUUGCUCCUCUGACGUUAGCGGCGGACGGGUGAGUAACACGUGGAUAACCUACCUAUAAGACUGGGAUAACUUCGGGAAACCGGAGCUAAUACCGGAUAAUAUAUUGAACCGCAUGGUUCAAUAGUGAAAGACGGUUUUGCUGUCACUUAUAGAUGGAUCCGCGCCGCAUUAGCUAGUUGGUAAGGUAACGGCUUACCAAGGCAACGAUGCGUAGCCGACCUGAGAGGGUGAGCGGCCACACUGGAACGGGGGCACGGUCCAGACGCCUACGGGAGGCAGCAGUAGGGAAUCUUCCGCAAUGGGGGAAAGCCUGACGGAGCAACGCCGCGUGAGUGAUGAAGGUCUUCGGAUCGUAAAACUCUGUUAUUAGGGAAGAACAAAUGUGUAAGUAACUAUGCACGUCUUGACGGUACCUAAUCAGAAAGCCACGGCUAACUACGUG